UCGCCAGAAAGUACGGCGGCGAGUUUAUCCUCAGGAUCGAGGACACCGAUCAGUCACGGGUGGUUCCUGGAGCAGCAGAGAGGAUUGUGGACACGCUGCGCUGGGCUGGCCUUUGUCCAGACGAAGGACCUGGUUUGGGUGGCAGUGUAGGCCCCUAUGUGCAGUCUCAACGGUUAAAAUUCUACCAAGAGCAUGCACACAGGCUCCU